CAUUGAAUAUAAAAAAUAAUGAUGAAAAUAUUUAUAAUAUUUUUUGUCAUUUCAUUGUCGAUAUUUAAAAAGAAAGCUGCAUAUCAAUUGAUCCGAGAAGUUUCCUGAUGUUCUUAAUCAAAAGUACCAAAUUUUGAUUUUACAUUUUGAUACAAUUCACGGUCGUUGUCGAAACUAUUUCUAAUAGAUAAUUGCCGGACGUUCUUAACCUAACGAAUGUAUUGGCUGAUAUCCUGCCCUAAGUAGUAUCUACACAAUAAAAUACAAUUUGCUCUACCCCUCUGGUGUGAAAUUCUAUCCAAAAGGGUGUUAUGAUGGUACAGAAUAUGUUAUGCAAUAAUGAUUCACCUUAUUUUUACUAAACUGGCAAGAAACUGAUUGAAAAUGCGAGACGUUCCAAACCUAUACUUACUGCGCACAGUUCAGUCUAAGUAUAAGCAUCAGCAGAAACUCUAGAUGCCUUGACGAGAUCCACUUAAAUAUAUACUUAGCUUUUGCACAAACAAACCAAAGAUUUCAUCACUCAUCACAACAAUCACAAAUCUUAUUUGAACGUCGUUACGUCGAAGUUGACCAUUUAAAAACUGAAAACAGUGCAUCCAAACAGUGCCAGUUAAUGCGGCAGAAGGUUCAGUUAAAUCGGAAUGUUCAGUUUGGCUUUUGUGCAAGCCGGAAGCCUUAUUAAUCAUACAAUCAAAUCAAACCUUUAAGAGAUGUUUCAGACUUGGUAGCUUGAAGAUAAAUUUAAUUAAACGCAUACUAUAUUUGUAUGCAGUGCUAAUACACAUCAACUGAAAA